UUAUUUCCUCAUGAGUGCAUCAGCUCACACAAAGAUUCUCUUUCAAAUGAGCUGGCAGGUCCGUUGUGUUCCCUGUGGCUGUUCUCAAUGAUGACUUUCGCAAUCAGGACAUUGGUCAAGUUAAAGCAGGAAAAUAAUCUACCCUUUCAAAUUAAGGCUGAGAAGGAGAUGUUAUGGAGUCCUUCAGAACCAAAUGAAACAUUUAACACCCUGUAUUGUUGAUAUAAAAUUGUCUUUUACUUACUGUGGAUAUGGGAGGAGAGAGGUUUUGACAGAGGCCUCUUAAAAUAGACUCACUAGAAAUUCAUCAGGGUCAGGUUAACCAGCUAAAUGAAGAAAAAAGGAAUGUUCCAACAAUAAUGGUGAAUACAAAUACAGAAAUAUACUGCUGGUGAAGAUUUUUCUUUUAAA
rnacentral:lncRNA from 1 species